rnacentral:rRNA from 1 species
GACGAACGCUGGCGGCGUGCUUAACACAUGCAAGUCGAACGGAAAGGCCCUGCUUUUGUGGGGUGCUCGAGUGGCGAACGGGUGAGUAACACGUGAGUAACCUGCCCUUGACUUUGGGAUAACUUCAAGAAACUUGGGCUAAUACCUGAUAUGAGCUCCUGCUGCAUGGUGGGGGUUGGAAAGUUUCGGCGGUUGGGGAUGGACUCGCGGCUUAUCAGCUUGUUGGUGGGGUAGUGGCUUACGAAGGCUUUGACGGGUAGCGGGCCUGAGAGGGUGACCGGACACAUUGGGACUGAGACAAGGGCCGGCAUCCUACAGGAGGAAGGAGUGGGGAAUGUUGCACAAUGGGCGGAAGCCUGAUGCAGCAACGCCGCGUGCGGGAUGACGGCCUUCGGGUUGUAACCCGCUUUCGCCUGUGACGAAGCGUGAGUGACGGUAAUGGGUAAAGAAGCACCGGCUAACUACGUG